GCUGCUGUAGCUCAGCGGCAGAGCACUCCCUUGGUAAGGGAGAGGUCGAGAGUUCAAUUCUCUCCAGCAGCACCA
rnacentral:tRNA from 1 species